rnacentral:lncRNA from 1 species
GUUCAUUUCACUCAAACAUUUACCUAUAAAUAGCAAAAUCAGAGAAACUGAUUCAGAAACUGAUGUGGUCUCUUAACUUUUUCUUAACUUUUUUAUUUCUAACAACUAACUGAAACCUAGUGAGGCUACUGCUCACAUUCACAGUAAAAAACAGUUAAAAACUUCCAAAAUGCCUAGAGCCCUUUUUUAUACAGAUAUAAAUUUACUGAUAAAUUUAGUUCUGUACGAAAUGUCAUUGGUUAAUUAAUAAGACUGUUUCUAAUUAUGUUUUAGACAAGACUUUUAGUCCUGUUCCUAAAGGUGUAACCCAAGGGAUUCUAGUUAUCUAGUUAUAUCUACUCUGGGUACAGUUUUUAUUUAGGUGGAUUUCACCUAUUUGUUUUUAAACAAAUGUCACAAUGAAAUAAAAUAGUUUACUAAAGUGCUUGUAAAGUUUAAACACAACAUACCUGUACAUAAUGUUCCUAGUUAAUAAACAUAAUGCUAGCAAAUGACAAAGAUUUCACAUACAUUUCGGUAUUUAAUCCCUCAGAAAUACUAUAUUUUUUGAGGCCCUGAGAGUUAGCCAGAGAGUAUGUACAGUAAGUCAGAGAGACAGGAAAGGCAAGACUUGAUAAGUAAGAAUGUGUUUGUUCUAUCUUAUCAUUCCAACAGGUAAAAUACAUAAAUAUUGCAGUUCUGUUGAUGUUGGCUGAAGUCUGUGGGACUUGGAAUCAUUUGGUAAAUAUGAAAUACUGUAUUCUUACAAUGCCAGGAAGCGUGCAUUCCCUUUGCUUCACGAGAUGCUCUGUAGUGUCUUUGUUCCUUUGGGUCAAAUCUCCAUGGAGGAAGGAUCCACAGCUGCCGACUGACCGCGGAGCGACCACACACUUCCAGCCGUCUCCUGCCCGUCCUUUUUCAGAAACUCUUCGCAGCGCCUUCCCCGUUCCCAGGCCGACCCAGCUGGGGAGGAUUUGCUCUGGUCUCCAGCUCCUCUGCCUUGGGGGCAUCAGCUCUUUGGCGGGUGCUGUUUCACUGGGCACUGGUCAGGGAAUUAGUAACUGGAUAUAG